AGUUGUAGGAGUGUGGAUGGUGAGUGGUUGGCUGAUAGAGCUACAGAACCCUGGACAGGGUGGUGCUGCCAGAAGCUAGGGAGAGUGAGAAGGAGACCUGAGCUAGUUGUGGGGUCUCUGUCAGAACAAGGCCCUGAGUUACUCUAAGAUCGCAGCUGACCUUCAGCUAUGAAGUUCUUUUACUGUCUGCUUGCUGCUCUCCUUUGGAUUGUCCUGGCUGUUCCAGUUCCCCUGUGAUUCCAGCUGACCGCAGGCUAUGAGGAUUCUCUACUUUCUCCUUGUUGUUCUCUCAGG